GACGAAUGCUGGCUGCGUGCUUAACACAUGCAAGUCGAACGGUGAAAGGGAGCUUGCUCCCUGGAUCAGUGGCGAACGGGUGAGUAACACGUGGGCAACCUGCCCCUCACUCUGGGAUAACUCCGGGAAACCGGGGCUAAUACCGGAUACGACCUGGUGCGACAUCGCACCGGGUGGAAAGAACUUCGGUGAGGGAUGGGCCCGCGGCCUAUCAGCUUGUUGGUGGGGUAACGGCCCACCAAGGCGACGACGGGUAGCCGGCCUGAGAGGGCGACCGGCCACACUGGGACUGAGACACGGCCCAGACUCCUACGGGAGGCAGCAGUGGGGAAUAUUGCGCAAUGGGCGAAAGCCUGACGCAGCGACGCAGCGUGAGGGACGAAGGCCUUCGGGUUGUAAACCUCUUUCAGCGGGGACGAAGCGAAAGUGACGGUACCCGCAGAAGAAGCACCGGCUAACUACGUGCCAGCCGCCGCUGUAAAAC
rnacentral:rRNA from 1 species